rnacentral:rRNA from 1 species
AACGCUGGCGGCAGGCCUAACACAUGCAAGUCGAGCGGUAACGCGGGGCAACCUGGCGACGAGCGGCGGACGGGUGAGUAACGCGUAGGAAUCUACCUGGUAGUGGGGGAUAGCCCGGGGAAACUCGGAUUAAUACCGCAUACGCCCUAAGGGGGAAAGCGGGGGUCGCAAGACCUCGCGCUAUCAGAAGAGCCUGCGUUGGAUUAGCUAGUUGGUAGGGUAAAGGCCUACCAAGGCGACGAUCCAUAGCUGGUCUGAGAGGAUGAUCAGCCACACUGGGACUGAGACACGGCCCAGACUCCUACGGGAGGCAGCAGUGGGGAAUAUUGGACAAUGGGGGCAACCCUGAUCCAGCCAUGCCGCGUGUGUGAAGAAGGCCUUCGGGUUGUAAAGCACUUUAAGUGGGGAGGAAGGGGUCAACGUUAAUACCGUUGAUCAUUGACGCUACCCACAGAAUAAGCACCGGCUAACUCUGUGCCAGCAGCCGCGGUAAUACAGAGGGUGCAAGCGUUAAUCGGAAUUACUGGGCGUAAAGCGCGCGUAGGCGGCUAAUUAAGUCGGGUGUGAAAGCCCCGGGCUCAACCUGGGAAUUGCAUCCGAUACUGAUUGGCUAGAGUAUGAGAGAGGGAGGUAGAAUUCCACGUGUAGCGGUGAAAUGCGUAGAUAUGUGGAGGAAUACCGGUGGCGAAGGCGGCCUCCUGGCUUAAUACUGACGCUGAGGUGCGAAAGCGUGGGGAUCAAACAGGAUUAGAUACCCUGGUAGUCCACGCCGUAAACGAUGUCAACUAGCCGUUGGGCACCUUAGUGUGCUUGGUGGCGCAGC